GCGGCCAUGUUGGGGAAGGGCGUGGAGCGGCGGUGCUGGGCGGGCGGCGGCUCCGUGCGGGAGAGGGGUGCGGCCUAUCCCGGCACUUUCACUGGAGCCAUAGGGCCGGCGGAGGCUUCUUCUUCCCCUUCGGGCGCUCCCGCCGUAGCUGCGCUGGGGCCCGGCUGGUCCCGCCGCGCCGCUGGGGGCACGAAUGGCAGCGCGGGCGAAGGGCGCGGGGCUGCCAGGAGUUAAGAUGGCGGCGGGGAGGGGGCGACAAAGCAGAGCGCGGGGGAGCGGGAGGGCUGGGCCGCCUUGUGAGGGAAGCUCUAGUUGGCUAUGACCGUGUGUUUGCCCAGAAAUGGGGCCGGCUCAAUGUACACCUAGUGCCCGGGGUGUGCUCUGCCUGGUUGCUUUGCUCUCUAGUGGCUUUGAGGGGGGAAUUACCGCUGCACGCCCGCGGGGCCGGUACCGGGGUGACAGCCCCUGCACCUGGAUAACCUGUGCUGUUCCUGUCCGCAGGGACACUGAAUGCAGCUUCUCUAAGUGAUUAUUCCUAACAGGGCUCAUCUGUGCUUUUGCCUCCCUGUUUCAGAAGACAAAGUGUAGGAAGUUUUCACUUUCACAUAAUGGAGUAAAUCAGCAUCAGAAAACAAGAGAAGAUUGAGGUGAAGAGAAAACAAAAACAAAAGCGAGGAGGAAAGCAUCAGAAAAAAGAGUGAGCUGUAACAAGAAGCUGCACGCCAGCGUGUGAUCGCUGUGACCUGAGCGAAAGAAAUGCUCGGAGCUGCAUCUCAGUAAAAAUUCCCCCACUAGUGGGUGCAGUCGCUGCCCUCGAUUUGCGAUAAAUGCAGCUAUUCAGUUCCGUUGAGGCUCCAGAGAGGCGAAACAGCAGAUUGUACCCGAAAAUGGAGAGACAUAACUGAGCCUUCUCCUUUUACGCCUUCCCCUCCAUUCCUUUCACCCCAAACAGAUGCAUGUAAAGAAGAAUAAAACAACAUGCACCAAUCAAUCCGGCCAUGAGAAAGAGUUCUUGGGCUUAGUCUGGCAGGGAGUGGCUUGUCAGGGGAUCGAAGGUAUUGCCUUGGGCGAUUGAUGACUGUUCAGAGGAACAGAACUUUACAGAUGUUCUCGUUUAUUCAAAGCAAACCACAGCCAACAAACAAAACUCUUCAACCAACAGAAAGGGUUUGUUUCAAAAAAUUGUCACUGCAGAACCUACUUGUUUCUCCAGCUUCUACAACCAGCAAGACCUAAUUCCGUUCCCGAAUUGUUCCAGUCCUACGUGUGCGCUGCUGAACAGCCCGAGCUGACAGAUGUGGUCUGGCUGAGGCCUGGGCACUGAACUCUUUAUUGCCUUUGCAUUAACCAAAGGAUGUAAUCUGGAGUUUGAAGUGGCUUUAUGCUGAUAUUUUGUGCUUGUUAUUUGAGUACAGACAAUAUCUGAUCAGUUACUCACAUGUUUCUUUUUUGUUAGAAAUUUGUUAUUUUAAAAUUCACCAAACCUUGAGGGAAGUGAGGUCCCCACAACUGUCAGUGUUGAGCCCAUGCCCAUGUACCCCACCAGGUGCUCAAUAGCUUGAUGAGGGUUCAGGUCCUCGUAUGGACUCUGUGUGUUACCCCAAGCUGUGUGAAUCCCCCACCUAUUUCUUUUCCAUUGCCAUCUGUAAUGGACUCAUGCAUUUUCUCUAAUUUGUGACCUCCUUUUCCCUGUCCUCCCCUCUCAAAUGUCCCUGCAAAUGUUGUGCCCUUUUUGCUUUGAAAACCUAUUUUUCUAUCUUAGCAGAAGAUGUCAGCUUGCUUCUGAAGUCCUGUUACACCAAAAGACAUGAUACAUUAUCAAAAUAAUCCAUCUCCAUUAAAAUCAUGAUCUACUAUGCUUUGCAGAAUUAGUCAGGGGUUUGUUAUAAAUACGGCUGCAGUUUCUUGCCCUGUACAGGUAUUGUUCAUCCCCUAUUCAUUCCUUCACGAUUAAUAAUAAGACAAAGAUUUUAGUCAAGUGUAACCAGACCAGGAAGGAGCAGGGGGGAAGCUCUGUGGCAGGUGGCAGCAAGUUACCGCCACAGGGGCACAAAGGCACUGCCGGCAGGGUUGGAAUGGCAAGCAGAGCUGGCACGGGGCCGAGUGCCAUGGAUUGUCCAAAGAGGCAUCUGUGUAAGGCUCAGGAUCCUGAAUCCUGGCUGCCAUGGUGUUCUGAACUCACUGGCAGCUGGGAGUCUCUGCCUUGGGCAGGGGAUUGCUGCUGUCAACAAGGUGACUGGCAGUGUCUCUCUCCUUUUGGUUUCCGCAGCCUCUAGUUCCUGCUGAGUUCGUAGCAGCACGUCCAGCAUCUCAUCUCAGAAAUAAAACUACAAUCUGCUGUGCCACUCCUCAAAGUAAGCUGGUCCUUCUCACAAGGCUUAAGAACAGCAAAAUCCAGCCCUUGCUGAAUGUCGAGUUCCAGACCCCUAAAGGAAGGAAUACUGACCCGAACGAAGCAGUGAACAAAAUAAACCUGAAAAUAAAGAAUAUUUUCAUAGGCUGGAAUUUUCAGUGCAAUAAAACCAGAGCUGCCAGAAGGAGUCCCAGAAGUGUGGUGAAGAUGGAGAGGAUCUUCUGUAUUAUCUCCUAGCAGAAGCACAAGGUACAGUUUUAUCUAGUCCUCAACAUGUCUGAAAAGCUUAUGCAUUUUGUUCAAAAGUGUCUAAGGUUUUGUUGACUUUCAAUUUAAUAUUUUAAAGAAUAAUCUGAAUGCCUCUUUGCCUCUAGUAUCUGGGAACAAGCACAGGCGUUAUGUGACCAUACAUCUCUUCAUGGAUUACAAGCAGGUGCUUUGGUAAGUUAAAGAUGUUGGUGUAGAAUAAAAUAAAAGUCAGGUUUAGCAAUAAUGUCAUAAUGGAAAUUUCAUAAAAAAUAAAAACAAAAACUAAUACAAAUAGGAUGACUGGAUUUAUUCAGUGACAUAUUGUUAGUCACUGCCUGUUGUCUGUGCUACUGAACUGCUGUCCUGCUUCAAGGCAAUUACCAGCCCUGAAAUAUUUUCAUCUGAAGGUUUAAACUGCAACAACUGUGAGGACUGUGAGGACAUGUGGAAGAUUCUUCUGUCAUUAUCUCACCCUUCAGUUCUAACAUGAAUGCUUGACUGGGAAGGUCUGUGACUAGUGGAGAUGAAUAAACAGUUGGAGCUGGUAUUUGACUGGUUAAUGUGUGUGCCAAACUGUGUGUGUAGUGCCGAGGAGGCUCAGCAGCUCCUGGGGGCUGUCA